GUUCAAAGCCAGCCUCAGCAACGUAGCAAGGCCCUAAGCAACUCAGCGAGACCCUGUCUCUAAAUAAAAAAUAAAAAGAGCUGGGGAUGGGGCUCAGUGGUUGAGCACCCCUGGGUUCAAUCCCCGGUGAAAGAAAACAGGGAAGGAGGAAGAGAGAGAGAGAGAGAGAGAGGGUGUUCUUGGGCGCCUACCACCUGCCCAGGUCUUGCCCAUCCCUCUCUACCCUUGAGAGGACCCAUCCUCCUCCCCCAUUCUUCAAAGGGACAGCCUGUGCCCCGGUAGCUCAUGUCCCAAGGUGCACCCAAGGGCAGACCGGGUUCUCCCGUCCUGGGGAGUGGGUCCGUUUCUGCUUUUAUCUUUUGGAGCCUUUGCUGAUGGCUGGCGAUAGGGCUCCGUACCCGGGGCCCUGCCCUGCUCUUUAGCAAACAUUCCCCUUAGAUGCAUCAUCCCGCGGGUCACCUGGGAAGCCCCCGCGCAUUUGAUCCAUUUUUAUGGCCUAAAACCACAAACAGGAAGCGGUCUUCACAGACACACAGGAGUCCAGUUAGGCCCAUCCAAGGCCCUGGGUUGAAGAGUCUUCCCUGGGGACUGGGUUGAGGCCGAGAACCUCUGUCCCAUCCUGUCCCCUAAACACAGCGUCCUAUAGCCCAGGCCUGACCUGAGUCAGGAUGAGGGAGUGUCAGGUCCAGGGAGGGCCACUGACCGGGCCCCUGCUGGCCACAUACCCGCCCAUGCCGCCCCCACCCCACACCAGCUCCCUCCUGCUCUGCAUUCAUGGAAGACUUCCAGCAAGAUGGUCACCUACAAGGUGACAACUCUGUGGGUGCAGCCGGCCGUCCUGAGACGGCUGUCCUUUGAUGACUGUGACAGGUACAAUUUGGGGAAGGUCU
rnacentral:lncRNA from 1 species